UAUUAGUAAACUAAUAAAUAAAUAUUAUUUCGAAAAAGAAAAUAACUUAUAAUUUGGGAUGGAUGAAAAAAAGAAAGUAAUUGAAACUGAGGGAAUAUUUCAAAAAGGAAAAUAACUCAUAAUUUAGAAUAGAUAAAAAAAAUAAAUAUAUUUUUUGGAAUGAAGUGAGUAUAAUUUAUUCUAAUGCUUUUAUCCUAAAGUUAUAAUCCUUUAUUGCACUUAUGAUUAUUUAACACCAAUUAAAAUCGUUUGUCCCUGGAGGAUUUUUUUUUUUAAUUUUCGAGAAUCGAGAAAUUAGCUCAAUUAAACAUCUGGCAAUUUUUUUUUUUAAGUAGAAAUUUCAACCAUCUAACUGAUUUAAAUGUUUAAUUAUUUAUAGUAACCUGUUAGCAUUUAGACAGGGAAAGACUGGAAUGCAGGAAGUGAUAAAUUGUCAACUGUUAUACCUCGGGAAUGGGAUUUCUGCUAGGACUUUGAACGGAUGCUUCUCUGCCUCUUAAUUCAGGAAGCCUAAAGAACAUUUAUUGCUGGCACAGAUUUUGCUUCGUUCGACUGGAACAACCCUCAUAUCUCAGCUAUGAACUUCUAUCACAGUCGCGACCUGUUUCUAGAAGGAUUUGGCAAUCAUGAUUGAAUCACUUUAUUCUGUUUAACACAUGCAGGUGCUUUGAACUCCUGGCAUUUCCGCAUUGGUGCAACGUCAAUUGGCAUCAGAUUAUCACCUGAAGGCUCCUUAGAAAACAAAGGCUUAUUGCGAGUAGUAGAAUUGCCCAUGUUCUUGUCAGUCAAUGGGCAACUUCUGGGAAAAAUAUCAUCCUUGGGUUUUGCUUGAUCCCUAGAGCUACAAAUGCUUAACGGCAACUUCUUUAGUUUCAGUCUUCCCCUCUUUUUACCGGGCGAACCUGCAUCUCCCCAUAUUUUCUCCUUUGAGUGACUUGAUUCUGCUUCCCCAUUAUCCAUCUCUAAUUGAGUAUCUUUUUCAUAUUUGGAUGUCUUCUCAUUUGCUGUACUUGUGCAUACCUCGCCAAUGGAGCCUUCAGAAUCCAAUUCACCUGCAACACCAUGCCCGUUGCACAUAGAAGAUAGGUUUCCUCCAAAUGCUACACUUCCAUUUGAAAUCCUAGUUCUCUCAGAAGUCGGUGAGCUUUUAGGCUUCUUAUUUUUAUGACCCUUGAAAUCAGAACUGGAAGGGUUCUUCGAAAUUCUAGGAGAGCUGUUCAUAACCCUAUGCAGCUUACGAGCUAAUUCUUCAUCAGCCCUAUAAUUCUCAAUAGGUUGGUGCUUUUUGUACAAAAGUUGAACCUGGACAUGCUUCUUCAGCUUAUUCCUUUGUAAGUUCCUCUCCUUGCUAGCUGCCUCUUCAGGAAAAGACGCAACUAAGGCUAAUGCACUUUUAGCAGCUGUCACAGCUUUUGUUGCAAUAAUAGCCUUCUCCUGAGCCGUAGCUCUUGCAGCUUCAGCAGCCUUAACAGCAGCAUCAGCAGCUGAUUUUGAGGCUUCUACGAUUUCCUCAGGUGAAAGAUUACGGUUAUUAUUAAAAUGAGAAGUCAAAAGAUUGUUGAGGCGGGCUUGAAAUUCACUUGAAGAUGGAGAACAAGGAGUUGGCGAAGGCGGAGAUGGGGAUGAAGGAGAUGGAGUAGGGGGAGGAGGAGAAGAAGGCGAUGCUGAGGAUGAGGAUGAAGCAACUGCAGGAGGGGCCAAGGCAGCAUCACCAUCAGAAUUCUGUUUCUUGAAUCCUGCAAGCAGGCGCUUCCGAGGAGGCAAAAGAACAUCAGCAUCCAAGUGAUUGAUGUCGCAUAUAUUAGCUUCCAUUACUCCUCUUGUAAAUCAAGUAUUUAGAGUGAAUGACUGUAAUCUGUAUCAGAAUGAUGCCACCUCUCCAACUACAGUCAAGCUGAUCACUUCAUUUUAAGGUAGAAGAAAGAAACGGCGACUUGAAAUUAGGGUUUUUUUGUUUGUUUUGCUGUUGAUGUUGCAGAAGGAAGGGGGGGAUAGAGAGAGGUAGGGGAGGAAAAUCCAGGUGGAGAGGAAAAUCACAAGAUGCAUUUAU
rnacentral:misc_RNA from 1 species